UACGUAGGGGGCAAGCGUUGUCCGGAUUUAUUGGGCGUAAAGAGCGUGUAGGCGGUUUGGUAGGUCCGCUGUGAAAACUCGAGGCUCAACCUCGAGACGCCGGUGGAAACCAUCAGACUAGAGUCCGGAAGAGGAGAGUGGAAUUCCUGGUGUAGCGGUGAAAUGCGCAGAUAUCAGGAAGAACACCCGUGGCUAAGGCGGCUCUCUAGUACGGUACUGACGCUGAGACGGCGAAAGCGUGGGAGCGAACAGG
rnacentral:rRNA from 1 species